CCAUCCCAGUGCUCAGACUACCUGUUUAGGAGGCUGAGACGUGCACAGUCUGCACAUUGGUUAGGC
rnacentral:pre_miRNA from 1 species